rnacentral:rRNA from 1 species
UAAGGAAUAUUGGACAAUGGUCGCAAGACUGAUCCAGCCAUGCCGCGUGCGGGAAGACGGCCCUAUGGGUUGUAAACUGCUUUUGUACCAGAGAAAACCUAUCUACGUGUAGAUAGCUGAUAGUAUGGUAAGAAUAAGCAUCGGCUAACUUCGUGCCAGCAGCCGCGGUAAGACGAAGGAUGCAAGCGUUAUCCGGAUUCAUUGGGUUUAAAGGGUGCGUAGGCGGGCUUGUAAGUCAGUGGUGAAAUCUCUCAGCUUAACUGAGAAACUGCCAUUGAUACUGCAGGCCUAGAGUAUAGAUGACGUUGGCGGAAUAUGACAUGUAGUGGUGAAAUACUUAGAUAUGUCAUAGAACACCGAUUGCGAAGGCAGCUAACGAAACUAUAACUGACGCUGAGGCACGAAAGUGCGGGGAUCAAACA